rnacentral:rRNA from 1 species
UACGAAGGGGGCUAGCGUUGCUCGGAUUGACUGGGCGUAAAGGGCGCGUAGGCGGUUCGUACAGUCAGACGUGAAAUUCCUGGGCUCGAACCUGGGGCUGCGUUUGAUACGUGCGGACUUGAGUGCGGAAGAGGGUCGUGGAAUUCCCAGUGUAGAGGUGAAAUUCGUAGAUAUUGGGAAGAACACCGGUGGCGAAAGCGGCUUCCUGGUCCAGCACCGACGUUCAGGCACGAAAGCGUGGGGAGCAAACAGG